rnacentral:rRNA from 1 species
AAUAUUGGAAAAUGGGGGCAACCCUGAUCCAGCCAUGCCGCGUGUGUGAAGAAGGUCUUCGGAUUGUAACGCACUUUAAGUUGGGAGGAAGGGCUUUAGGUUAAUACCCUGAAGUCUUGACGUUACCAACAGAAUAAGCACCGGCUAACUCUGUGCCAGCAGCCGCGGUAAUACAGAGGGUGCAAGCGUUAAUCGGAAUUACUGUGCGUAAAGCGCGCGUAGGUGGUUCGGUAAGAUGGGUGUGAAAGCCCCGGGCUUAACCUGGGAACUGCUUUCGUAACUGCUGAGCUAGAGUACGGUAGAGGGUAGUGGAAUUUCCUGUGUGGCGGUGAAAUGCGUAGAUAUAGGAAGGAACACCAGUGGCGAAGGCGACUACCUGGACUGAUACUGACACUGAGGUGCGAAAGCGUGGGGAGCAAAC